CCGUUUAUUCCUGAUAUAUACACCUACUAAGUAGUUCCAGUCAAAUUGUAUGUUGAACAUUCUAAAUUAAUGCACUGUCUGGCGUUCCAGCCUGUCUCUAAAAUGAGUAACCAUAGCAAUGGGAACGCACCACAACAAACCAACAACAACGAGUGACUUCAACAUUUCUUUUAACCUAUUUGGAGAAUAUGACAGCUUUGAUGACUGGGAUGCAGCUGAAGGAAGAGAAAUUGAAAAGAAAGAGGGAAACGGCACAAGGAGUUAACACUAGGAGAAUAUAAUCAAAUAGAAGAUGAAAAAGAUGAGACCAACACCAAAAAAACCAAGCAGUGCCCAGCAUGAGGCAUGUCUUUUUUGAUUUCAGUUACCAAAUAGUCCAACUCUGCAUUUGAACAGGUGCUAUAGAGUGCUCUGACAGAAAAGCCAAACUUUCUCAUUCUUCUGAAGAUAGAGCAAGUGGACACUCCCAUUAAGAUAGCAAUACACGGCACAGGAAGACCUCGGUUGAUGACAUGUGACAGAGAAACAUCAAAUCCAGCCCAGUUGCUCCAUGACGAACCUGCACACAUACUAUGGGGACCUGAUUUUCUCUUUGUUCAACAACCAACUUGUGCAGCUCUGUGAGUGCAUCUACAAUGGCUUUUGGGAUGAGAACCUGGUCAGAGACAGCACUAAAAAGAACGGCCUCCUGAGAUCCCACAAAUUCAAGGUGAAGGACAACAUUUGGCUUUUGAUAGCUCAGAAGCUUGGCUCCGGGAUGAUGCUGCUUUAGUCAAGAAAUUAUGGAGGAACCUUCUUAACACGAACAUGAAGAGAAGGAGAGAGGAGCUGUCAACCAAAAGUGGCCAGGACAGCAACUCCACCAAGAAUCUGGUGCAGCAUACCAGCCGCAGAAAGGUUACUCUGAACAAGCAUUUGGUCAACUUGGUCACUCCACCAGCUUUACCUCUAUGUAGUGUUGCUUAGUUUUACUAAAUGUAUCUUUUAUUAUUGUUGACUUAGUGAAUUAACUUCCAAUAUGUUCUUAUUAUUAGCUUAUUUGUUGUAUUUAUGGUGUAUUGUUUUAUUGUUAUUAAACUGUUAUUUCAUAUGGA